UCGGGGCCCGCGGCGGGCCCGCGGACGAGGGAGCUGUACCCGCACCACGACAAGACGGCCGGA
rnacentral:ncRNA from 1 species